UCGGUUGUAACUUCCUCGUUGAGCCAUUUGCUCUCGGCCACGGCUGGGACGCUGAUACUCAGAGAGUUGAAGAGCCAAAAGGGAUUUUUUCUUUUUACUUUGAUCAGCCUGCUGCUGAUCGAAAAUCUGGAUGGCGGCUUUAACUACAGCAGUUGCAGGCAUCCCUGCCCAUCCUAGCAUAACAGUCUCAAGAUGUUUGCGCACAGGGGAUUGGAGCCCAUUUACAAAAGUUCCAACUACCAAGCCAUUCAAUUCUGCAUUUGUCAUAUUGACUCCUCCAUGGUGCCUAAGGAUCAGGCACAAGCGGGUGUAAUAAUCACCUGGAUUUUCUUUCUCGCCCUGUUUACAGAGCUCUACCUGGUUCCAGUCUAAUUUUGUUGGCUGUACUUCCAGGCAUGCCUUAGCCAAGCGGGUGCGUAAGUUGGCUAAGUGAAUUCUCUCAGCUUGGGUAGAAUGCCCUGGAUCUUCAGAUGGCCAUGCAAGCCCUGCAUUGCCUUCCCCUACUCCUGUUUUUGCUAUUAAAGCAGAUUUUUGUUCUGGGGACAGGAGUCCAGAAAGUAAUUGAUUCAUAUCAGCCCAAGUUGGAUUAUAAACACUUAUGAUUUGUUCCAGUUUUUCUUUAAACUCAUUAGGAGCCUCUCUGAGUUUUGGAAAGGUAUUAGACCAGUUCAUAAGAUCUGCAACUGUCCAGGGUACAUGCACAAAAGUCACUUGCCCUCCCGCAGAUGAGGGGGGGUAUUGACGAAGUGGGUAUAUGCCGGCCGGCUGGAUGUUGGGGAAGCACCCAGGAAAAUUUUCUGGAUUAAAAUGAAUAGAGGUGUAAACUAGUACCCUCAGAGGAAACAGAUAUCCCUUCCUGCUCCUUCUCUAAUCUCAGUCUUCCUCAGCAUGGCUCCCUGAGGAGAAGCACAUAUGCAGCUGACAUCUCUUCUGCAGCAUCUCCUAUCUAGUCAGUCAAAUGAAAGCUACACCCUCAAGGGAGGAUCUUGGAAUAUCCCUGAAGGAGCCUACCCCACAGGGGACUUCCAGGUACACUUCAAUGAGAAGCAACUUUUUUCAAAAAUAUUCACAAUCCAUUCCAAUCACUGUGUAUAAUUUUGAGAUCUCCCCACUCAGGGAUGCAGCAGGUGCUCUUUCAGAGCCCACCCACCCGACAAAUGGCUAUUUCUGGCACAAAAAACACUGCUAGUUCCUCUAACAAAGUUGGCUUCCAUUCAAAGUGAGAGCAGCAUGGACAGAAUGGACUUUUUUGUGACAUCUACCUAUCAACAGAUAUCUACACUGUGCACUGGGGAGCAAGCAAGCAGAAACACACAGCUAGUUUAAAAAACAGUCUUCGUUUCCCCCCAAAACCAAAGAGCACACCCUUGGAGCUCUUUGCUGGCUACAUUCCAUUUGUUAAACUGACCUUGUUGGGUCAUAAUGUUAAACUAGCACUACAGAAAAGAACCUUAGUGUCCCUCUAGACACCCUUUUUAUUGUGUAUUCAUGACGACUGUGCUCAUGAUACUAUUGGGGCAAUGAUACAUGAUCCUGCUUUCAAAACUGUUUGUGCCUGGGAUGGACAUACUGCUUUGUUUCCAAUCAGUGCAUGUCCUGUGGCUUCCUCCUGAAAUCCUGUAGUUUCUUAUACCACAAGGUUCUUUUUAGGUGGGGGUGUCCCACUUUUGUACUGCUGUAAUGCAAGAGUGCUCCUCCAGAUGGCAAUAAUGUGGUAACCCAGGAGAAACAUCACAGAACUACUAAUAGAGCAGAAUGAUGUGUGGGCGGUCCACUAUAAAUCCACCACCAAUGCAUUAUUAUUGUGUCAAUGAAGGGUUGCAAAAUACAUUGGCAAACAAACAAACCAAAAAACGCACAGCCAGUCUGGAGGAGCCCUUCCCUCCUCUCCUCCGAAUUUUAGAUCUCACACAUUUUGUUGCCUGGAAAAGAUACAAACCCAAGGGCAUCAACUACAUCGUAGACUACAGCAAAGAAAACUAUUCUGGAUCUACACACUUAAUACAAAAGUACCAACAGGUCUUAAUCAAGAUGUGAACUGGAUGGGGAUGAAUUAGAAGAUAUUUGUGUAGGAAUGUAUAACGAAUUUGUAUAUUUAUAAGGUUAUAUUAUGUCUAUAGAUUGGCCAUUGUAUUUUAAUCAUUAGCUUUGUUACAUUAAGCAAUACUGCCUGUGAUGGAUGUUUGGGAUAUCCCUUUAAAACUUUUUUUCUUAUCUAGAAAGACAUCUGCAAAGCUUGUUAAAAAGAAAUGGCUGUGUGCUUUUACAUUAAGAAUGCUGGGAUAUAGCAGAGUUACAGCAUAUUAAUUUAAAAAGUUGUGUAGAUUUACAAAAUAAAUAAUUUUAUUAAAUUGGUGAGUACUGUAUGCUGGUCAUACCACAGCUUUUUUAUUUUAAUUAAAUUGAGUAUAGAAUGUAUUAGAUUUCUACUGUGUAUAUAUUUGCUUUUUAUUACAUUAAGUUUAAAUUGGAAGGACAGUCUUGCAAUGCUCACAGAGUUGGAGAGUAUCUGCUAUAUAUAUUUUGGUGUGGCAUUCAAGAAAUCUCCAGAUCUUAUUUCUGUAGUUUUAAAUGGUGAGUUUGUAUAAACAGUAUAAAGAUUUUUUAUUUAGAUUAAUAUUAUAUUUCCAGUAUUUAAAUAUUAUAUGUUUUAUCUUUGCAGGAGUUGUGCUGUGAAUUGUAUUGUUAUAUAGAUUUGUGCUGAAUUGUAUAUUUGUUGUUUGUACAUUGAUUGACCACUGAAGAAGACUUUGUCAAAGCACGUUUGGAGUAAAAUAUUGACUUCCCAUUUGUCAAAGAUCAAAUCAGUUAUAAGUCUAUAAUAUAUAACAAUCCUGUCUCUUAAGUCAUAUUAUAAAAUCACUUUCCUCCAGUAGUUAUCUUA